rnacentral:rRNA from 1 species
AGGGAUUCCCCCAGUAGUGGCGAAUGAAGCGGGAAAAGCUCAAGUUUGAAAUCUGAAGUCCACUUCAGAGUUGUAAGCUGAAGAGGUGUCGACCGACUUGGUCCGGGCCCAACUUCCUUGGAACAGGAGGUCAUGGAGGGUGAGAACCCCGUCUGUGGCUCGGGUGCCGUAGUCCUUGUGUCGCGCCCUCGAAGAGUCGGGUUGUUUGGGAAUGCAGCUCAAAAUGGGUGGUAAAUUUCAUCUAAGGCUAAAUAUUGGCGAGAGACCGAUAGCAAACAAGUAGAGUGAUCGAAAGAUGAAAAGUACUUUGAAAAGAGAGUGAAACAGUACGUGAAAUUGUUGAAAGGGAAGCGUUUGGCAUCAG